rnacentral:rRNA from 1 species
AUUGAACGCUGGCGGCAUGCCUUACACAUGCAAGUCGAACGGUUAUAGGUCUUCGGAAGCUGACGAGUGGCGAACGGGUGAGUAAUACCUCGGAACGUGCCUAGUAGUGGGGGAUAACUACUCGAAAGAGUGGCUAAUACUGCAUGAGAUCUACGGAUGAAAGCAGGGGACCGGAAAACCUUGUGCUACUAGAGCGGCCGGCGGAAGAUUAGGAAGUUGGUGGGAUAAAAGCUUACCAAGCCGACGAUCUGUAGCUGGUCUAAGAGGACGAUCAGCAACACUGAGACUAGGACACGGCCCAAACUCCUACGGGAGGCAGCAGUGGGAAAUUUUGGACAAUGGGCGAAAGCCUGAUCCAGCAAUGCCGCGUGCAGGAGAAAGGCCUUCGGGUUGUAAACUGCUUUUGUACGGAACGAAAAGCCCCGGUUGAAUACCCUGGGGUCAUGACGGUACCGUAAGAAUAAGCACCGGCUAACUACGUGCCAGCCGCCGCCGUAA